rnacentral:rRNA from 1 species
AUUGAACGCUGGCGGCAUGCCUACCACCUGCAAGUCGAGCUGAGCGGCGGACGGGUGAGUAAUUCCUAGGUAUCUGCCUGGUAGUGGUGUAUACCGUCCGGAUACGGGCGCUAAUACCGCAUCCUAUCCGAUGAGCCUAGGUCGGAUUGGCUAGUUGGUGGGGUAAAGGCCUACCAAGCCGACGAUCCGUAACUGGUUUGAGAGGAUGAUCAGUCACACUGGAAUGCAGAAACGGUCCCGAAUCCUACGGGAGGCAGCAGUGGGGAAUAUUGGACAAGGGGCGAAGGCCUGAUGGAGCCAUGCGGCGUAUGUGAAGAAGGUCGUCGGAUUGUAAAGCACUUUAAGUUGGGAGGCGUUACAAACAGAAUAAGCACCGGCUAACUUCGUGCCAGCAGCCGCGGUAAUAC